GCCUGGGUGGCUCAGUUGGUUGAGCAUCGGACUCUUGAUAUCCUAGGGUCGUGGGAUCGAGCCCCACAUCAGACU
rfam:Felis catus isolate Cinnamon breed Abyssinian chromosome D4, whole genome shotgun sequence.